GACGAACCGUGCGAACGUUAUUCGGAAUCACUGGGCUUAAAGCGCGUGUAGGCGAGUCGGUGCGUCGGCCGCUGAAAUCCCCCGGCUCAACCGGGGAAGGGGCGCCGAUACGACCGGCCUGGAGCGACGUAGGGGGGACUGGAACUUCCGGUGGAGCGGUGAAAUGCGUUGAGAUCGGAAGGAACGCCCGUGGCGAAAGCGAUCUGCUGGACCUCUUCUGACGCUGAGGCGCGAAAGCUAGGGGAGCGAACGGG
rnacentral:rRNA from 1 species